AAAAACACACCAUGAAUAUUUUAUUCUAUUUAUGACAUCACGAUAUGUUUAUGCAUUUUAAUGGACAUGGGUUUCAAUCGGACAAAACAAUCUCACGCAUUGGAGUUUCUGAAACUAUUGGCAGGUCUGCAACAGUGUGGGGAAACAGGCAGAAACAGACAGUAAAUACGGCAUAAAAUUGAACAUUCAGCACAAAGUAACAGAGAGAAACUCGCAAGACAAGAAUGGCUUUGGGAACAUUUGCGUGCCAUGGCAUGCAAAGAAUGGUCUGGUACUUUAUUCUCCAAAUAUAGUUCCAUAUAUCAAUGCCACGAAAAGGUGCUGACCAUUCGUUGGGGCACUAUUUUGGAAUAAAAUGAUACACACAAACCCAGGAUACCAGUCGUAUAGGGUCUGUGGCGCUACAGAUAACAGGCACGAAUAAUGCAGGCCCCAUAUCCGGCUGCAUUUGUUCGAACACAUGAAAGGCAAAGGUCAGUCACAUGGUCAGUCUACCAACAUAUACGUCACGCGGGGUCAUAGCAUGUGUUAUGACAUCAUCACCCUUUCUUCAUUUUUUGCCCACCCCGCGUAAUUCAAAAGCUCUUAUUGAACCAUUUUUUCUCUUUAUGAAUGGAAUAUAUUACAGUGUAUUUUGAGACACAAUUCAUAGUUUGGAUCAUGUUAACUGAAACUGUAGAUUUAUGAUAAUUGUCUUCAUAAUUAGAGUACCACUUUGAAUUUAUUUAAAUUCUUGCUGUAAAUUCAGGGUAGGGGAGCCUUGAUUGGUCCAUGAAAGACUCCUGCUUUCUGAUUGGUCUUGGUUCUCAGGCAGAGGGCUUUUCUUUUGUGAGGGCAUUGCAGGGUGUGGAAAUCAGAACAAUAGGCUUGAAUGUGGAGUCAGUGGCACUGUGCUGUGCAGUGUAAAGCAUGCUGUACACAGGCCAUGUACAGCAUGAAUGACUUGUCUUUUUGGUACAUGUACACAGUAAUGCCAACAUGGCAGCCCUGUUUUUGCAGUGCAUUUUAGGAGUGAAGCUCUUCCUCAGUCUCCCUUGAUUUUGAUAUCUUUCCAGAGAGAUGUUAUUGUCACUUUCUUCAACCAGUAUCUUCCCAUUUAGAUUUGACAAUCUGGCUGAUAGACAGGGUGCUUUUGUGAAGGUUGACACAGAGCUUCUAUCAAGGUCCCCCAAAAGGUGGUGAUACAUGCUUGAACGCUGCUGCCAUUCAAAGCAACAUCAGACAACCUGAGACCUGCUGCAUUCCCAUGUAGUCUGAAUAGGGCAUCAUUGGCUAACUUGUCACAAUGACAACUGACAGCACCUCGGCAAUCUUCUGACAGCGUGGGCUUCUGAUGACAACCCCAUCACUGAUGCCUCAAGUUGAUGUCAACCCUUUGGAACUCUCCUCUUUAAGACUGGCUGCAAACAUCUAAGAAAACUGCAAAUCCAUGGCAUUGAAAUGACACCAUGCAUGCAUUAAUGUUUGACAAAUGUAUCUCUAGAUGGUAGAUAUAUUGUCGUCUGGUAGAAACUCUCCAAUUAUCACUUGUCACCAGUCAAGAGGUUCUCCUGUUUUGGGAUACGUCGAGAAUGACCAAAAUUUUGUGAAACUACCAAUACUACUAGAACAUUACAGUUCAGUAAAGACUAAAGCAAAUGAUGAUGCCAUGGAUUUGCUGUACUUUUUGAUGCAACGAAAUGAAACCAGGCACAUGUUACUUUAUGAUUGAAAUAAAGUAAAAAUGAUUUAAUUUUUCAGUUGAAGAGUGCACAUAGAUAAACUCAGGAGUAUUCACUCUUGGUUGAUUUUUACCUAAGAGUUUAUGGUCUCUUUUACUUUUUGGUCCCAAUGAAAUAUUUGAAUGACUGAGUUUAGAAAAGACACAUUGAAAGAAAGGACAUGUGCCUGGAUCAUUAGUUUUUAAGUUACUUUAAUUUGUAUUUUGUAUAAACAGUAUUUAGUUUUUUGAUCUACACUAGCACAUCACGUACACAUACAUUUGAUUUAGAACCUUAGUAAAUCAGCGAUUAUGUUGACUAUUUGUGUUUACAUUUAAUUUGACAUUCCUAUUUGGUUCUACAACUGGAUUUGCUAAAAGUGGUUUAUGGCAAAACAAAGCAAGGUAUUAACAUACUACAUUCUCACUUUGGCAAGAUAACAGUCUAAGAAUGUGAUAGCAAGUUUAGAAGUUAAAAGCCUUCAUCUAAAAAAGACUGUAUUACCAGUCAACUUAAACCUUGCCAAAAAUGGUAUUUUACUGCUGGUUGAAGUAAUUUGUAAGUUAUUUUAAACGAAAAGAAAUAUGAAGUUUUUCCUACAGUUGUGUGAUGUGCUAGUGUAGAUCUGUAUCAAUUGUGUUUGGAUAAAAAACAAGUUUAUUUGGUGGGUGAUGUUGCCUGCUGUCCAUUUCACAUUUUUGCUGCAAAAACAGUUUGUUUUUUGAAAUGUUAGGAUUUCUUUUCCCGUAGCAUUUGAACAAUGUUCCUUUCAAUUGAUGGUACUGUAUUUCAGAACUUUGAUGCCUUUUGUUAGCCGUCUCCAACAUAGCUCUAAGAAAAACAGUCUCUUUAAAAUCAAAUUCAACUUAUUGUGCAGCAUUUUUAAAGUUUUUUGGUUGGAAUGGACAGCAGGCCUGUGUUAGGUCUUGGUUUUUAGACCCACUAUCCCUGAAAUAAGUUAUGCAUUUAUCACAGAUGGUACACUGCUACAAAGGGGAACAAAGACUUUAUUACAAACUUUUUGCAGCCAUUCCCGAACACAAAUUGGCAUAUUUGUACACCGUUAAAAACCCAUAAAACAUACUUUUUUUCAAUUUUUCAUGUCUUUUUAUGGCACUAUAUGAUCUUUCAUAUUACUGACAACAUCCCCCCCCAAAAAACAGAAGUGCUGUGGACAAAACUGGACUUUUCAUAGACGAGUUGGAAAAUUGACUUUUCUGUAGCGCCCUCAUAAGCCACUCUGAAAGCAGGUUCUAAACUUAUUUCAAUUGGGCAAACUUCAAGUUAUGGUAGCGCCCUCACAGAGAAUAAAAAAGUUAAAGAAACAAAUGCAUUGUUGUACCUUUUUUUUUAUUUGAACUUGACCUUGAACUCGAACUUAACCUUCACUUUGAACUUGACAAUGGACUUGAACUUGAAAAGAGCUACCAUUUUAAAAAGCACCCUAGCGCGUACAAGUCCUCCCUGGUGUGGGCCACGUGUCCCCGCCCACAGACACCAACAGGUCCAGUGAGUUGCCAACUGCAUUAACUCAUGAUCAGUUGUUCUUGAUGUGUACAAACUCCCCUGAUCGUAAAUGCCCAAGUUGACUGCAACAUGAAUAAGAAUCCCAUAAACUCCAACAAUCGGUUGACUUUUCCACGCAGCAGAUGACAAUGUAUUUCCACAACUCCGACUGCAAAAGAAAGGAAAGUUCUUACAGCCUAACUUGCGAUUGCUUCCAUUUGAUAUUCAGUUAUUCACAGUGUAAUCAUCGUCGCGAUCCUGUAAAUAUGUUCCCAAAUUUGUCACAUUUUGUUUGCUUUUCUGAGACAAAUUAAAUGUCUUCUGAUUCUUAGGCAGUUUUCUUAGUCCCUUAUAGUGUGUAACUGUCACUGGUUAACUCUAAAAUCUGCUGAUUGUUUACGUUAAAGAUCCAGUCAGUUUUACUGUCUUUACCCUACACUUUCUCACCCUCUGUUUGAGGUCAAACUAUCCCCUGAGGGCUUCCAAUUAAUGCUCCAGUGGAAUGAACUACAAUUAGCUUUCUGAGUUCAGGUGUUAAAAUUGUUUUCCAAAAUCAGAUUUUGUCGAAAAAAGGAGUAAAGCUCUUGGCAAAGUGAAAAACUGCACCCUUCAUUUUGGUUUUCAAGGACCAGAUGUAUCGUAACUUAAGUUGAUAAACAUUCCAUCAAUUUGUUGUUUUAAUUGGCACCAUUUCAAUUUAAAAAGGUCACCACAGUAGUUUCCUAAGCACUUUUUAAUUUCUAUCCAUUUCUUUAUCGACAAAUUCCAGCUCUGCAUUUGAGAAAGUCCAUUUUUUGAAGCAACUUCCAAGAACAAGUUUUAAAAGGACUUAAGUGUUUUUCAACUUAUUACCUUUGCUUGCUGUGUGUUGCAAAGAUCACUUUUGAAGCAACUUUUCAGAAGUGUUUGAUAUGGGAUUCAUGGUGUACAUGUAACCACCUGAGCUCAUUUAUGGUUGAUCUUUGACUUAAACUUGNAAAAACUAUGACAUAACAUCACUUGUGUUAAGUUCUCAACAAUGUGUUCGACCAUCUAUUUCAUUCACUACAAUGCAAGUGGCUUUGGAAAUACAUUGUAAUUUAAAACCACAAGCACAUAUCCAAGCAAGUGGAUACUUUUAUGAAUAAAACAUGUUUCAGUAAAAGAAAAGCAGUCACUGUGACCUUACUUUGCCUGUUACAUGCAAGUGUGACAACUAUUGGCAAGCUUCUGCCCAUGGUUUCUAUUUCAACUAACGAGUCCCUGACUUCCAGUGCUUUUCUGGAAAAAGUCAAAUGUCCAACUUUCAAUAACUGGCCAAACUCCUGCGUACUGCUCCUUUUAAAUGCGGCCAACUUUUUUUUAGAGGUAUCCACAUAUGUUCUUGAAGACUAAAGUGCUGUUUUGGAGACCACCUUUUAUAAAUUAUUAAAUUAAGGACUAAUGAAAGUGGUGGUAUUUCCAUUUAAAUUGUAUUCAAUUAAUUAAAGCAGUACAUUUUGCCUGGUGUGUCGUACUUUCUGAGCAACCAUGCUGCUCAGUGACUUGGUGGACAAUGUGGUAGCAAUCUGCCUGUCGGUAUCCAUAGAAACUGUGGCAUCCAAUGACACGGGGUUAGCCUGUCCCGUACUCCAUGCUAAAUUUAAUUGAAGUUUUCAUUAAUUCAUGCACUUUACAAUUGCAUCCUCAUGUGUUGCUCUCAUACACCCUUACAAUCUCAUGGCAGUUUGGUGUACACUGGUCUACAUAAUCACAGAUAUUGCACAUGCUCACAUGCUAACUUCAACAGGGCCCAGGAAAAACCGUACUUUAAAAAAAAUGCAUAUCACUUCACUGACUCCGUGCUAGAAUGAAAUUAGCUUUUCAAAAGCAUAUGAUUUGACAAAGAGCAUGACACAUCAUAUUAGUUCACCAUUUAAAUGGAAUGUUGAUUGCAUGUUGUGGCAAACUUGCUAACUGUAGAUUUCAUGAUGUCAAGAAUGAUUCAGGCUACUGUGCACCUCAUAUGGGUUACCG